UACGUAGGUGGCGAGCGUUGUCCGGAAUUACUGGGUGUAAAGGGCGUGUAGGCGGGGAUGUAAGUCAGAUGUGAAAUACCAUGGCUCAACUGUGGGGCUGCAUCUGAAACUAUAUCUCUUGAGUGUCGGAGAGGAAAGUGGAAUUCCUAGUGUAGCGGUGAAAUGCGUAGAUAUUAGGAGGAACACCAGUGGCGAAGGCGACUUUCUGGACGAUAACUGACGCUGAGGCGCGAAAGCGUGGGGAGCAAACAGG
rnacentral:rRNA from 1 species